UUUUUUUAGGUUAAAUCAUGCAUAAUAAAUACUAUUAUAAGUGCUAUAAAUUAAGUUGGACAAAUCAAAAAUAAGCAUCCAUGCAUGCUGAAAUAAAGAAGACCUGUAUUUUACAAUAUAAGCUAAACAUGAUGUUUGCCUUCUGUUUAUAACAAUUCAUUUUUCUUUUAAAAAAAAAAGGAAAUGCUUCAAAAAGCUUAUGGUUCAGAUUUUUUUUAGAGCAAGAAAAAAGUAUGUAUGUACUUUAUAAGAAUCUCAUAAAUAUGUUUAUUUCGGCAAUUAAAAUGCAAAAGGGGAUAUUUAUGCCCCCUUUAUGGGCAUUAUUUUUUCUGGUUUGUGCAUCCGUUCGUAAGUCCUUUCGUCUGUCUGUCUAAAGUUUUUGGUUGAGGUAGUUUUUGAUGAAGUUAAAGUCCAAUGAUCAACUUGAAACUUAGUACAAAUGUUCCAUAUGACAUGAUCUUUCUAAUUGUAAUGCCAAAUUAGAGAUUUUACUCCAUUUGCACUGUCCACUGAACAUAGAAAAUGAUAGUGUGGAUGAAGCAUCCAUCCGCUAUGAACACAUUCUUGUUUAAAUAUGUAAUAAUAGUCUAUUUCCAAAUUGCCUAGUACAAACUUACAAUAUUAACAGAUUCAAAUCUGUUAGGAAGCAAUUUUGAUUCAAAUUGCUUCCCUUAUAAUCGUUAACUUUCUAACCAGAUAGAAUUGGCUUCUGCCUACACAAAGCAUGAUAAGAUGAAGUGAUAUAUCAGCAUAUUUGCCAAUAUUGAACGAAAUUAGUUACUGGUAUCAAAAGUUUUGAGCUUAACAUAAAAUGCGAUGUAGUUUAAAGAUCUGAAAAAUUACAGGUUAACUACAUUAAGUAAAGAUAAAUUUGCUAUUUCCAGUAGCUCUCCAUUGUCAAUAAAAUUAAUCUCUCCUAAUGUAGACAACUUAGAAAUGGUUUUCAAAUUAUGGAAUCAGUUAUGGGGAAAUGGCAGACAGACUUGCCAAAAAUUGUAUUAUUUCCUUCUAAUCUUGUAUUGUUAAAUAUCAUAGAAUAUGUUCUUAUUUAUAUGUUUUUUGUUAGAAUUUCAUUAUAUCAUGGUGCUUUUAUAUGAUCUUGUUGCAUUUUAUUUUUUUAUACAUUUGUUCAUUUACAUUUCCCUUAACAUGUGCACUAUUAUAUUGAUUAUUUAACUGGAUGAAAUGACAAUUUUAUCAUGUUUAUAUAUGAAUUUGCAAUUGUCACUGUAAUUUCCCUUUCCAAAAAUUAUUCACUUGCUAUAAGGUUACAAGCUUAGCUGUAAAAAUAAUGCAUUUAAACUUGUAAAUUACUCAUGUCCAAAUGCAAACUUUCCAUAGUUCUAUUACAAAAGGGAAAUAACAAAACAAUCAAUGCUAUGACCUCCACUUUUAAAAUUGAAAGGCUGUGAACAAUAUGGUAUAAACAAUACAUGUAAUUAAAGUCUUUUUCUUCAUUUGAACACUGGACUUUAUUUUAAUAUAAAUGGAUUGAAAAAUAGUUUUAAUGAUUGUGACAUGGGUCCUAUUCACAUUUUGACUAGAAGGUGGAUUCUCAUUAAGGAUGAUGCAUACAUGCAAGGAGAGGCUUACUCUGCUACACACCUAAUCUCUCUCUCCUAUUGGUGUUAAUGCAAUUCCUUCUGUCUAUUCAUUAACUUGAUUUGCCUUACUCAUCAACUUGUGAGAUUUGAACUGCUCAUGGCUUAAUUAACCUGAAUAAUUCUUAAGACUAUCUCCCCUUCAAAUAUCAUGCCAUUAGCUUUGGGAAAAAAUAUUCAUUCAAUAUAACACAUUUAUCCUACUAACCUACACAUCAUCAUCGUCCUGUAAAUUUAUACAUCAUAUUUUGAUUAUCUCCCUUCGAGCUGAUCAUUCCAUAUUGAAUAAAUGUAUGAUUUGCUAUUUGACAUCCUCUUAUCAGGGCUUUUUUCUUAUUUCUUACAUAAAGAUUGAGCGUCUCUACAUUAUAUUAAAAGUAUAAAAGUUAUGAACAAAAAUGAUCCAUGCUUAAGGAGAAGCAAAUAUAAUAAUGAACAGAAAUUUUGAAGAAUAAUAUAUAAAUCAUGUAGAGUUGGCUCCCCUUUUCAAAAUUCUUGAUCCACCACUAGAUUGUGUCAGUUAAUUGUAAUGAGUUUUUUAUAAUAUUUUCUCUAAUUUUUGUGCUAUUUUCACAUUUUCUGACCGGUGUGAGAAAAAUAUUUCUCCUCACUAGGGAAAAACCUGUUCUUGGCAAACGAUUGGUUGAAAUUUAAUUCUGACAUUAACUUUUCUAGUUUUCUUCUGUGAUUGUGAUGUCAUGAAAAAAGACAACCAUGCCUGAUGAUGUCACAUCAAAAGUUCUCAACUUUCCUCAAAUAUUUGAAAAAGAAGGAUAAAAAUCAUUAGAGAAACAGAUUCCACCACUGUAACUCGUGUAUUACGAUAUUUCUCCACUCUCAACAGUUAAAUUUUAAUUAUUUAAAAAGCUCGGCAAGCCUCGACAAUUUAAUGUCUGGAGUGGAGAAAUAUCGUAAUACACUUAUUGCAGUUGUGGAAUCUAUAUAUCUAUGUAGAAUAGACAGUUCUUUACACUCCCUGCUUUUGAUAAAAACUUUCGUAACAUAAGCAUUACAUAUAGAUUCCUACACUGCAACAAGUGUAUUACGAUAUUUCUCCACUCCAGACAAUUAAAUAACUAAAAUUUAACUGUGGAGAGUGGAGAAAUAUCGUAAUACACAAGUUAUAGUGUCAGAAUCUGUUUCUCUGAUGAUUUUUAUCCUUCUUUUUCAAAGAUUUUCAGAAACUUGUGUUCUUUAUAUGCGACGUCAUCAGGCAUCACCGCCUAUUUUCAUGGCAUCACAAUAGAAAAUUCAGAAGAAAACAAAACAUUUAGACAUCAUAAUCAAAUUGCGACUAAUCAUUUUACUAGUGAGGGGAAAUAUUUUUCUCACACUGGUCAGAAAAUGUGAAAAUAGCAAAAAAAUUAGAGAAAUAAGCAUAACAGUACUUAUUGCAUGGAGGCAUGAGGCAUUAUUAGAUAGCAUGUCAUAUUAUUCACAAUAUUGUAAAAACUGAAAAUAUGUAAGUGUAUUUGUAUAUAUACAUUAUGUAAAAGAAAAUAUUGUUAGAAAUUAUCGAAGGACAAAAUGAUUUUUGUUUUAGUGCAAUUUUACUUAAAUAGGUUGUUUUUUAUUCUCUUAGCAUGC
rnacentral:lncRNA from 1 species